CAUAUAAAUCACGUUUAAAAGAGAGAGUUGCUGUGCCCACUGAGAGAGAGCUGCAGCAUCGCUCCUGCCACCUGCCCUGUCAGCUGAAUGACAUUUCCAGCACUGAUUUACUACGGCUACGCGGAGCUGGGAUGCACAAGUGUUUGCAAGCUGUCUCUCACAAAGGAAAGGGCCGCACCACAAGCACACACCAGGACUAUGGCCUUUCGCACAAAUCGGUCUCCACCUGAUCCAAAGGCCCGGGACCCUGCUGCCCAGGGGCCAAGAAGAGGCUUGGUGACUUACUGGGACCUGCACUGACACCACCCUUCAACCUCUGCCUCUGGGGCAGGCAGAGCAAGGGAAGUUGUGUUUUCUAAAGCUGCACCACCUGCUAAUAUCGAGUUUAAAGUUUAAUUUCAAAUUCAAUUUCAAAUUUUGGCAACCUAUACCAAAAUGUGAUUUAAGCUACUAUAAUCAUUUCGAACAAAUGAAAUAUUCAAGUAAUACAUUAAGUUUUAAAGAAAGCUAAACCACUGAUGGAACUGUUGGAAAUCCCUGACACAGCGUUUACAAAGAACAUUUGUUCGAAGUGUUAAGCAGCAUGCUUUUAUGGGUGCACAGAGUAUUUUUAAUACCCCAACCAGUUUGUAUUCAGCUACCUCCAGUACUUUGAAUGAGCUUCAAACUUUUUAUCUUUGGAUGUAUACCUGCCAAUUCUGAGGACAAACACCAUCAAUUCUGAAAUCAUAAAGAAUAGCAUCAGAUCAUUUCACUACUUAUAAAACAGUACUUUUUCCUAGCUUUAAAUUCAUAAGUUUUCAUGGAUAGUCUCUCUUUAGCCAGUACACUGCAAAAAUAAACAUAGUAAACAUGAACUGCACUAUUCAUCAAUUUCCCACUUCAUAAACAGUCAUGUUUAAAGAAUCUGCAUUAAAAAAAGGCUAAGUUACCUAAGUUAACAAAAGCACAGCAAAAGAGUAAACCUGCCCAAUUAGGAAAAGAAAUACCAGAUUUACUGAAAAAAAAAAAAAAAAAAAAAAAG